AUUGAACGCUGGCGGCAGGCCUAACACAUGCAAGUCGAGCGAGCGGCGGACGGGUGAGUAAUGUCUGGGAAACUGCCUGAUGGAGGGGGAUAACUACUGGAAACGGUAGCUAAUACCGCAUACCAUCAGAUGUGCCCAGAUGGGAUUAGCUAGUAGGUGGGGUAACGGCCCACCUAGGCGACGAUCCCUAGCUGGUCUGAGAGGAUGACCAGCCACGCUGGAACUGGGACACUGUCCACACUCCUAUGGGCUGCAUCAGUGGGGAAGAGUGCACAAUGGGCGAAAGUCUGAUGCAGCCAUGCCGCGUGUGUGAAGAAGGCCUUCGGGUUGUAAAGCACUUUCAGCGGGGAGUCGUUACCCGCAGAAGAAGCACCGGCUAACGCCGUGCCAGCCGCCGCGGUAAUAC
rnacentral:rRNA from 1 species